rnacentral:rRNA from 1 species
CCUACGGGAGGCAGCAGUGAGGAAUAUUGGUCAAUGGACGCGAGUCUGAACCAGCCAAGUAGCGUGAAGGAUGACUGCUCUAUGGGUUGUAAACUUCUUUUAUAAAAGAAUAAACGCAGGUACGUGUGUCUGUCUGAAUGUAUCUUACGAAUAAGGAUCGGCUAACUCCGUGCCAGCAGCCGCGGUAAUACGGAGGAUUCGAGCGUUAUCCGGAUUUAUUGGGUUUAAAGGGUGCGUAGGCGGGUGGAUAAGUUAGAUGUGAAAGUCCGAGGCUCAACUGUGGAAUUGCAUUUGAUACUGGUCGGCUAGAGUGCAGUUGCGGUAGGCGGAAUGUAUGGUGUAGCGGUGAAAUGCUUAGAGAUCAUAAAGAACACCGAUUGCGAAGGCAGCUUACCAAGCUACCUCUGACGUUGAUGCACGAAAGUGUGGGGAGCAAACAGGAUUAGAUACCCGGGUAGUC